ensembl:lncRNA
GAGGAGAGAGGGACUGGGUCUGUGCUGGGAGGAGAGAGGGACUGGGUCUGUGCUGGGAGGAGAGAGGGACUGGGGCUGUGCUGGGAGGAGAGAGAGACUGGGUCUGGGAGGAGAGAAGGACUGGAGCUGUGUUUGGAGGAGAGAGGGACUGGAGCUGUGCUGGGAGGAGAGAGGGACUGGAGCUGUGCUGGGAGGAGAGAGGGACUGGGGCUGUGCCGGUGAGGAGAGAAGGACUGGGGCUGUGCUGGGAGGAGAGAGGGACUGGAGCUUGGAGGAGAGAGGGACUGGGUCUGUGUUUGGAGGAGAGAGGGACUGGAGCUGUGCUGGGAGGAGAGAGGGACUGGGGCUGUGCUGGGAGGAGAGAGGGACUGGGGUUGUGCUUGGAGGAGAGAGGGACUGGGGCUGUGCUGGGAGGAGAGAGGGACUGGAGCUGUGCUGGGAGGGGAGAGGGACUGGAGCUGUGCUGGGAGGAGAGAGGGACUGGGGCUGUGCUGGGAGGAGAGAGGGACUGGGGCUGUGCUGGGAGGAGAGAGGGACUGGAGCUGUGCUGGGAGGAGAGAAGGACUUGGUCUGGGAGGAGAGAGGGACUGGGUCUGUUCUGGGAGGAGAGAGGGACUGGGGCUGUGCUGGGAGGAGAGAGGGACUGGAGCUGUGCUGGGAGGAGGGGAGGACUGGGGCUGUGCUGGGAGGAGAAAGGGACUGGAGCUGUGCUGGGAGGAGAGGGGGAGGACUGGGCUGUGCUGGGAGGAGAGAGGGACUGGGGCUGUGCUGGGAGAGGGGAGGACUGGGGCUGUGCUGGGAUGAGAGAGGGACUGGGGCUGUGCUGGGAGGAGAGAGGACUGGGUCUGGAAGGAGAGAGAGACUGGGUCUGGGAGGAGAGAGGGACUGGGUCUGUGCUGGGAGGAGAGAGGGACUGUUCUGGGAGGAGAGAGGGACUGGGUCUGUGCUGGGCGGAGAGAGGGACUGGGGCUGGGAGGAGAGAGGGACUGGGUCUGUGCUGGGAGGAGAGAGGGACUGGGUCUGUGCUGGGAGGAGAGAGGGACUGUUCUGGGAGGAGAG